GCUGCUUCAGGGUAAACCUGUCGAAAGGCAGGGGCACAAAGCCAUGGGUCUAAGGCUUUUCCCUUUAAGGGGUUAGCUCCUCUAAAGGGAGGCUAUGAUCGCCAGGCUGCCAGC
rnacentral:ncRNA from 1 species